ACAUGACUUUGCCCUCCGUCCUCAUCUGGACUCUCCUCUGCUGCUGCUUCACAGAGUCCAGAGGCCAGGUCACAGUGACUCAGCCUGGAGCAGUGCACUCUGCUCUGGGAGGCUCCGUCUCCAUCAGCUGUAGGGUCAACCCAGAAGUUUAUGUAUCAUCAUACAGCGGCAUAUACUGGUACCAACAUUUGCACUGGUACCAACAGAGAGAUGGAGAAGCUCCUAAACUUCUUAUUGCCACGGCUAAUGAGCUGCAGUCUGGAGUUCCAGGUCGUUUUACAGGCAGUGGAUCAAACACUGACUUCACUCUGACCAUCAGUGGAGUCCAGGCUGAAGAUGCAGCAGUUUACUACUGUCAGAGUUAUCACGAAAUCAACAGUCAGGAUGUGUUCACACAGUGAAAAAGCGUCGUACAAAAACCUCCCUCAGUCAG